UGUUAUUUCCUCUGCAUAUGGUUUAAACCUGUAGUGCUUAGAAGGUUGCAGGAGGAACGGUGGCUGGAGACCCAGAGAACAAAGGCCCUGGAAGGUCUGUGGAACCUUCCCAGGGUUCCUUUAUCUGCCUGAGCUGCUGUUGUAUCUCGGUACCCAGGAACUUCUGAGACAAACCAUGACCUUGACUUUCUGCGCUAUGAGAUUGGAUUUGCCAUUUUAUAUCUAUCAUAAAUUAGAGAUCAUUGCAAGGUUGCUGUGAAGGAUCAGCUUUGCUGUUUGUUAUGAUCACAUCAACACUGUGUUUGCAGAUAGCCCGUCUGGGGUCUGUUAAGCAUUUAAACCUUAAGCCUUCAUAACAAAUCCGUAAAUAUUAACGAUCUUCAGCCUUAACUCUAGGAACUUUUGGAACUUGGAUCAUGGAGAAGUCAGGGCAGGUUUGGAAAUAGACUGGUGUUUCUUGGUUUCUAUCAUAACAUUUGUAUAUUCAAAUUAAUCUUGUUAGAUUUUUUUUAAUACAAAGAUCUGUUGGAAGAAAAGGAGAAUAUCAUGUGUUUUCAUUUCAUUUCAUUUUGAGAUCAUAUUUACUUUUAUUUUGUGUGCGUAAGUGUCUGCUUGAAUGUGCUUAUAAUGUCUGUGCAAUAGGUGCUUGUAAUGCCUGCAGAGGCCAAAAGAUAAAAUCAGGUCCCUGGGACGGAGUGCAAAUACUGGAAGGCUCCAUGUAGGUACUGUGAACCAAACCUGGCUCCUCCGGAAGAGCCACCAGGGUUCUUAAUAGCUAGUCAUCUCUCCAGCCCUAAAUCAUAUUUUUUAAGUACAGUUGGCUAGAGUAAGCCUUUAGCUGUCUCUUUGUUGGUAUUUGAGCAUAUGAAGCAGAUCAUAAUCAAGGAGUCAUUAGAUUUCUUUGACAGGUGGCAAUAAGAGUCCAAUUCAGCUUGCUACUUGUUAAUUUAUCUAUAAAGCAUGGUCACAUUUGUCAUUAUUGACAAUCAUGACAAUUGGUCUGGGUUCUGUCUGCUGUUUAUGUGUAGUACUAUGUAUUAAGAAAUCUCAAGAGACCAAUAGCACGGGUUCCUUCCGGUCUGUCUGGGCCAGCGCCCUGAGCAGACCUUGGGUGGAAACUCUACAGCCAGCCCCACAACAACCAGAGGCAGCUCCACUCCCAGGUGCUCCAAGGUGCCCAGGAUCAAAGGAUCACAGGAUCACAGGAGCUUGGUCACACCAGGAUCUCAAGGUCCCAAAGGCAGCUUGACUCCCAGGAGCUCAGACACACCCAGGAUCUCAGGAUUGCAGGAUCCCAAAAUCACAGGAUCACAGAGACAUCUUGACUUGGAGGAAUUCAGACACAACCAGGAUCACAGGAAGAACAGGCUCCAUUCAGACAUAACUAGGGCAGGUAGCACUAGAGAUAACCAGAUGGCGGGAGGCAAGUGUAAGAACAUAAGCAACAGAAACCAAGGUUAUUUGGCAUCAUCAGAACCCAAUUCUUCCACCAUAACAAGUCCUGGAUACCCCAACACACUGGAAAGGCAAGAUUCAGAAAUAAAAUCACUUCUCAUGAUGAUGAUGAUAGAGGACAUUAAGGAGGGCAUAAAUAACUCCCUUAAAGAAAUACAGAAGAACACAGGUUAGCAGCUAGAAGCCCUUUAAGAGAUUUUUGUUGUUUCCUCUUUAAGAGUUACAGGAAAACAAUCAAAUAAUCGAAGG
rnacentral:lncRNA from 1 species